GAUCCGCCUGCCUCGACUUCCCAAAGUGCUCAGAUUACAGGUGUGAAAAGUGCAUUCCUAGAUAGUAUUUUUCCUUGGGGAUUCAUGAAUGUAGGUCGUUCAGUGUUUUCUGACAAUGUCCUCUGGCAGCCAACCACCAUUCUACUUUGUGUCUCCAUGAAUUUCACUAUUCUAAGCACCUAAUGGCUACCACGAUGGCUGGGUGCCUGCAGGACUGCUAAGAUCCACUGACUGUCUGAUGCCCUCUCUCCUGGGCCUGAGCUUGUCUCCAGGAAGCACUGAUGCAAGUGCAGAUGCAUUUGAGUUGCUCCGAAUAGCAAGGGGGUGAUCCAGUAGAGCUCAGUGUUACUGCGUGGGGAGCAAUGGUCAACUGGACCCUGAUGGGACACCCCUAGGACAC
rnacentral:lncRNA from 1 species